GAAUGUGAGGGCGAUCUGGCUGCGACAUCUGUCACCCCAUUGAUCGCCAGGGUUGAUUCGGCUGAUCUGGCUGGCUAGGCGGGUGUCCCCUUCCUCCCUCACCGCUCCAUGUGCGUCCCUCCCAAAGCUGCGCGCUCCCUCGAAGAGGACAACCAUCCCCGCUGACGGAGGACCAGUCUUUGGACAAGGGUAUACGAGUAGUUGCGCUCCCCUGCUGGAACCUCCAAAUAAGCUCUCAAGUCUGAAAUCAUGUUGCUAUCAUUU
ensembl:misc_RNA 7SK 7SK RNA